rnacentral:rRNA from 1 species
UACGAAGGGGGCUAGCGUUGCUCGGAUUUACUGGGCGUAAAGGGCGCGUAGGCGGACAGUUAAGUUGGGGGUGAAAGCCCGGGGCUCAACCUCGGAAUUGCCUUCAAUACUGGCUGUCUUGAGUGUGAGAGAGGUGUGUGGAACUCCGAGUGUAGAGGUGAAAUUCGUAGAUAUUCGCAAGAACACCAGUGGCGAAGGCGGCUCACUGGCCCGGUACUGACGCUGAGGUGCGAAAGCGUGGG